rnacentral:sRNA from 1 species
GACAAUAUUGACACCUUCAUCGAGGUGGGCCACUGGGCUGGGGGUGGGCAGGGCGAGGACUGAUGGCCCCUACAGCUGACCCUGUUCCUCCCUGCAGCACCUAUUUGCCCUGGCCGUGGAUGAUGACCCCGAGGUGCGGAAGAAUGUGUGCCGCGCCCUGGUGAUGCUUCUGGAAGUGCGGAUCGACAGGCUCAUCCCCCACAUGCACAGCAUCAUCCAGUACAUGUUGCAGAGGACCCAGGACCAUGAUGAGAACGUUGCCCUUGAGGCCUGUGAGUUCUGGCUGACGCUGGCCGAGCAGCCCAUCUGCAAGGAAGUCCUGGCCUCCCAUCUGGUCCAGUUGAUCCCCAUCUUGGUGAAUGGGAUGAAGUACUCGGAAAUUGACAUCAUCCUGCUCAAGGGGGAUGUGGAGGAGGAUGAGGCCGUCCCCGACAGUGAGCAGGACAUCAAGCCACGUUUCCACAAGUCACGCACGGUCACACUGCCCCACGAGGCUGAGCGGCCUGAUGGCUCCGAGGAUGCGGAGGAUGACGAUGAUGAUGAUGCUCUGUCCGACUGGAAUUUGAGUGUGUGCCCCUGCCUGGGGGUGCGGGUGGGGUGGCAAACCCUGGACUCCCUC